GUCCCUGUAUCACAAUGCAUAGCGCGUUGGACUUGUAAUCCAAAGGUAGUGGAUUUGAAUCCCACCUGGGAUA